rnacentral:miRNA from 1 species
UGACCUCGUGGGUCUGCCUUGCUCG